rnacentral:rRNA from 1 species
UACGAAGGGGGCUAGCGUUGCUCGGAAUCACUGGGCGUAAAGGGCGCGUAGGCGGCCAUUCAAGUCGGGGGUGAAAGCCUGUGGCUCAACCACAGAAUUGCCUUCGAUACUGUUUGGCUUGAGUAUGGUAGAGGUUGGUGGAACUGCGAGUGUAGAGGUGAAAUUCGUAGAUAUUCGCAAGAACGUCAGUGGCGAAGGCGGCCUUCUGGUCCAGUACUGACACUCAAGUGCGGAAAGCGUGGGGAGCAAACAGG